rnacentral:rRNA from 1 species
UACAGAGGUCUCAAGCGUUGUUCGGAUUCAUUGGGCGUAAAGGGUGCGUAGGUGGCGCCGUAAGUCGGGUGUGAAAUUUCGGAGCUUAACUCCGAAACUGCAUUCGAUACUACGGUGCUUGAGGACUGGAGAGGAGACUGGAAUUCAUGGUGUAGCAGUGAAAUGCGUAGAGAUCAUGAGGAAGACCAGUGGCGAAGGCGGGUCUCUGGACAGUUCCUGACACUGAGGCACGAAGGCCAGGGGAGCAAACGGG